GGGAAGUCCUCGUGUUGCAUCCCU
rnacentral:siRNA from 1 species